rnacentral:rRNA from 1 species
CGCCCGCCGCGCGCGGCGGGCGGGGCGGGGGCACGGGGCGUACGGGAGGCAGCAGUGAGGAAUAUUGGUCAAUGGGCGAAAGCCUGAACCAGCCAUGCCGCGUGCAGGAAGACUGCCCUAUGGGUUGUAAACUGCUUUUAUACAGGAAGAAACACUCGGACGUGUCCGAGCUUGACGGUACUGUAUGAAUAAGCACCGGCUAACUCCGUGCCAGCAGCCGCGGUAAUACGGGGGGUGCAAGCGUUGUUCGGAAUCAUUGGNGCGUAAAGCGCGCGCAGGCGGCUUGGUAAGUCAGAUGUGAAAUUCCUGGGCUUAACCCAGGAAGUGCAUUUGAUACUGCCUCGCUAGAGUACGGGAGAGGAAAGUGGAAUUCCUGGUGUAGAGGUGAAAUUCGUAGAUAUCAGGAGGAACACCGGUGGCGAAGGCGACUUUCUGGCCCGAUACUGACGCUCAGGCGCGAAAGCGUGGGGAGCAAACAGGAUUAGAUACCCUGGUAGUCCACGCUGUAAACGAUGUUCACUAGGUGUUGGGGGUAUUGACCCUCUCAGUGCCGUAGCUAACGCAUUAAGUGAACAGCCUGGGAAGUACGGUCGCAAGACUAAAACUCGAAGGAAUUGACGGGG